CUAGAUAAACAAUCAAAUCUUGAUAUAAUCAAGCACCUCAACAAUUCUAUAGAAAAAGAUAUGGCUGAAUCUAUGAAAAGAAUCAGUUCAAGAUUAUCCCAACACAAGAAAAGAUCUAUUGAUGAGAGAUGAUAAACAAGAAUUGUAUCAACAUGAGAAUCUAUUACAUAGAUCAAAUAUAAAUGAAACUACCAUCAUCCAAGCGAGUUCAUCCCUAGCUUCACCAAAGAAUUAGCUCUCCAUGAAUUUUUUGCUCCUCUUGAUGAUUUCUUUGUAAUGCAGCC
rnacentral:lncRNA from 1 species